CUCAUAGCAAACAAUUCUCCGGUCUCGCACAAGGAUCUGGUCUCAUCAACACCAUGAUCCACAGAAAUUACAUUCUAUAGUCAUCAAAGUUUUCAAGAAAUUUGAUGCCCAGUCAUGAACACAGAGUUCAGUAUCGAGGAGAUCGGGAAAUAGAAGAAGGAAAGCAACUGUUGAGCAGGGGUGUAUGGUAUGUAGAUCUACUGGCAGAGAGUUCAGUAUCCAGGGAAUCGGGAAAUAGAAGAAGGAAAGCAACACAUGGAGAGAGACACUCAUCAUCAUCAUCAUCUCACCAGUUCUUAUUCAAAGCUUACUUAUUUCCAGUUCUUAUUCAAAGCUUACUUAUUUCCAUUGGAUUUGAGGAAGCUUAUUUAUUUUUUUUUCAUUCCAAUACAGAGCCAUUGAUCAAUAGAGAGCUUCUCGCAGUCAAGAUCAGGAUUUAGGGCCAUGAAUUUGUCUAGCGCCAAACCUAACUUACUUGUAAUAUCGAUGCAGGUGUCUCCAAUUUCGACCAUGCCCACCACCGUGCAUGGAGGGGCACCGUUUACGCCUGCCAGCUUAACUGCAUAAUUCAACACCCAAUAAUAUGAAGAUAACGCGUCUCAUCGCAUUUUAUUAGAGGCCAAGAAAUGAUAAUUCAAAGACUUACAGCUUUCAGCAACAGAGGAAAUGAGCAGAAAAGACAGCAUCAAGAAGAGAAGGAAAGUUUCAACUAUGGGAUUAUAUCAAGGAUUGUUCCACGUAAUGGCGGAUUGGCCUAUGACAAAACAGGACAAGUUAUGGGAUCAUGAUUAAGUCAUUGUUGCUAUUUGCUAGGUUUUCAGUUGGGAUUAGCUUGAUCUAAUAAACUCUUGAGCAUCUGUAUUCCUUGGGAUCAUAAGUUAUGGGAUCAUUGUUGCUAUUUACGACGUGGAUUUUACAGACUCCAAACCACUCAACAUUUUCAUAUUUUUUCAAUGUGUGACUUCUUGUGUGGGUUACAACAUUCUCCAAGCAUACAUAGCAAUUAUUAAAUGCAAACAAUUGAUGUAUAUCAAAUUCCCUAAAAAAAAAAAAAAAAAAA